rnacentral:lncRNA from 1 species
GCAUUGGGGGCAGAAACUGGGAAGAGGCACAACAUUUGAAAUGUAAAUAAAUAAAAUAACCAAUAAAAAUGAAAAAAGAAAAAAAGAAAGUGAAUGUAUAAGAGUUUGGAAAGGACAUGCAUGAUUGUGGCAACCUUAAUUUAUAUGCCAUGCUUUACGUAGUAACUUUAAUUCACUAAUCUAUCAGGGCGGUUUCCCCUGCCUCAUUAGUUCUGUAAUGGUUCUAGUUCUAUCUUAGUCUUGAAGGAGUAAGUUUGAAGAGACAUUACCAAUGGGAUUACAGAAAGAAAGCUUCACCCAUGUUGAUACUGAUAGUAUCUGAGGAAGUUGCCAUGUGAUGUAGUAGCAUGUGAUGGUGAGAAGUGCCUGGGUGUUUUGGUGUUUUGGUGUUUUGGUGGUCUGUUAUACUGAUAGCAGGAAGGACAGUCAUUUUCAAGGAAUGAUGAGCACUCACAGAAUUUUUCAGAAAGCUAAGCUUCCUGCAAUUACUCACAUUGCCAAGUCUUGAAGCUGGGUUGCUACUAAAAUGCUGGUGGCUUUUCCAUUGUAGAAAUAGGAGUAAAUGGAUUUUAUUAGUGAAAUUGGUUAAUUCAUUGUCUUAGUUGGGGUUUCUAUUCCUGCACAAACAUCAUGGCCAAGAAGCAAGUUGAGGAGGAAAGGGUUUAUUCGGCUUACACUUCCAUACUGCUGUUCAUCACCAAAGAAGUCAGGACUGGAACUCAAGCAGGUCAGAAAGCAGGAGCUGAUGCAGAGGCCAUGGAGGGAUGUUCCUUACUGGCUUGCUUCCCCUGGCUUGCUCAGCCUGCUCUCUUAUAGAACCCAAGACUACCAGCCAAGAGAUGGUCCCACCCACAAGGGGCCUUUCCCCCUUGAUCACUAAUUGAGAAAAUGCCUUACAGUUGGAUCUCAUGGAUGCAUUUCCCCAACUGAAGCUCCUUUCUCUGUAAUAACUCCAGCUGUGUCAAGUUGACACAAAACUAGCCAGUACAUUCAUUUUAGCAUUUUGUCACUUGUGUGUGUGUGUGUGUGUGUGUGUGUGUGUGGUGUUCUCUCUGUGUGUAUGUGUCUGUGUGUGUGGUGUGGUGUUCUCUCUGUGUGUAUGUAUCUGUGUGUGUCUGUGUCUCUCUCUUUGUCUCUGUGUAUGUGUGUGCAUGUACAUGUGUGUGUGUGUGUGUGUGAGUGUGUGUGUGUGUGUGUGUGUGUGUACACAUGAAUGCAUGCAUAUGGAAUGCCACACUGCUAUGUAGUGGUCAGAGGACAAGCUUUCAGGUAUCAGUCUAACCUUUCAACUUGCUUGAGACAAGGUCUUUUUGGUGUUCACUGUUCUGUGCUCUCUGCCUUACAAGCUUUGAGGGAUUAACCUAUCCCUGCCUCUCACCCUUUCUGUACUGAACAGUAAGCACUCCAAGAGGUGAGUACUACUACGUCUAAACUUUCCUGACUUCUGAGAAUUAAAGUUCAGCCCUUUGUGCUUUAUAUAGUAAGCAUUUUACCCACUGAGACAUCUUCACAUGUUUGGAACUUUAUUAUCCACUUCUGAAGGUCAUUAAAUGUGUUGAAUUAUAUAUUUACAGUUUUCUUAGUGAUCAUAUGGAAACAUCACUGAAGAUUUUCUUCAUUUGAUUUUGCAUGAGAGUUAGAUUGCAGUAGUUGGGCUGGUAGCACAGGUCUGUUAUCACAGCAGUUUAGGCAGCUGGGAUAGGAGGAUGUGAGUUCAAGUCCUGCUUAGGAUAAAGAGUGGGUUCUAGUCCAGCCUGGCAGCUAAAUGGAUUGUUUCAAAAUGGAAAUAAAAAUGGAGGGCUUGGGAUUUAGUUUCAGGGUAGAAUCUUUACCCUAGCUCAUGCAAGGUCUAGAAUCAAUUUAAACAAUUACACAGAAAAAAGUUAGCAGAAUUUUAAAAAAAUGUAGAACAUAAUUUUGUUUGUUAUUUAUAAGAAAAUUAUCCUGAGUAAAAUUAUUGAUAAAUGUAAUUGCAUAUCUUAUGAUAGGCAAUGUAUCACUGUAUAUGUAUAGAACUCUCUACAAGAAAAUUAGGUAUAUGGUGGUUAGCAAGUUUGCUUAAGACAUGGUGAGGAAAAGCAUUAGUUGUUGAAUAUUUUCUUGUGAAACAGAUAUUCCAUUUUUGAGAGGAUGCUAAAAUAACAUUAAUAUAACAGGCAAAGUUACUUUGUUUUUAAGGCAACCACUUUUAGUUUUGAAUAUCUUUCUCUGGGUUUUAGUAGUAAUUACAAGAUUUGAAUGACAAAGGUGGAAUAACUUCUCAAGUUUGAAGCAGCUGCAGUUUGAUUAAAUGUCACUAGCCACCUUGUUUGUGGUUUCCAAGUUGAGUCUAGCCUUGCUACUGCUGUAGAGUAGCUGAGCUCCUGUUCCUUAAGAAAAUCUGUUCGAGGUGCCAAGGAAGUUUUCUUAAAUGUGAAGAACAGUGUCUUCCCUUGGAAUCAUGCUAUACCAUUAGAAACUUUGUAACCUUCUAUGGUGUGAUCUAACCCACCUGCUUCCAGAUCAUUAUCCUAGAAGUUGAGUAGUAAGGGAUUCCGGGAAUUUGAAACCCUAUUUAAGCCUUUUGAGGCAUUUUUAUUUCUUCUGUAAACACACACAGACACAAAGACUGCUGUUCUGUUUACUUCUAAAAAUCUUCCAUCAGGGGGAGCCAGGAAAAAAAGGGAGAGAAUCAGGUUUAGUUAAAAUUAUUCCAGAUUUUGAGAAUGAAGUGUGUGUAGCAGUUCUAGAGCUCUGCUAUCUUGAAGCAAUGGCUGCAUUAUCCUCAUGAGAAUUUCCUUAAUGGAAAGAGAGUAGGCAUACGCACACAAUCUGUGGAGGAUAAAAAUGCAGAAUUGUUGAAAGAUAUGGAUGCAAAUUAUCAAUCUAUCAAUUGAUUAGAGCACAGUCCAAUUCUAAUUACUCUGCAAAAGUAAUAGUGUCAAUUAAUAUAAUUUAUAUUAGGUCCAAGUGAGCUUGAGAGAAACUAAACCUUGCUCAGCGUUUAGCUAAGAGCUCUGAUUCCUUCCCAGUCAUCAACCACCCAUAUUCUGAUACCCACUUCCGCAGUGAAGGCUUGAGCUAAAGGAAUCUUCUGUGCAAAUAAAUAGUGCUUGUCUUCACCUUUAUCACCUUUGACUUAGAAAAUCUCUGGAGUGCCCAGUGUGUUUUGCUUCCUAGGAGAAUCAGGCUUGACCGGAUAUUUGUAAGGUAGCAAAGUCAGCCAAGAUACAAUGCAAUCUUACAUUUUUCACAGCAAUCUUGAUGGUUCAGAAGGAGAACCACACUGACAAUUGCCCACUUCUUAGUGAUUAUUGGCAUCAGUUAGUUUCCAGACAAAACAUAACACUUAUUGUGUAUAGAACAUUAGACCAAUUAGUGUAUCACUGUUUUGAAUGGCAGCCCCCAACACAUCCAGGGUGCUAGAUCAUUUUCAAAAGGCUCCUGCUGUCAGUGCAUUGAAAAUGUCAUGGUCAGUAGCUGGACAUGGUGGCACUCGCCUUUAAUCCCAGCACUCGGGAGGCAGAGGCAGGCAGAUUUCUGAGUUCAAGGCCAGCCUGGUCUACAAAGUUGAGUUCCAGGACAGCCACGGCUAUACAGAGAAACCCUGUCUCGAAAAACC